rnacentral:rRNA from 1 species
AGUGAACGCUGGCGGUAGGCCUAACACAUGCAAGUCGAACGGCAGCACAGUAAGAGCUUGCUCUUACGGGUGGCGAGUGGCGGACGGGUGAGGAAUACAUCGGAAUCUACUUUUUCGUGGGGGAUAACGUAGGGAAACUUACGCUAAUACCGCAUACGACCUACGGGUGAAAGCAGGGGAUCUUCGGACCUUGCGCGAUUGAAUGAGCCGAUGUCGGAUUAGCUAGUUGGCGGGGUAAAGGCCCACCAAGGCGACGAUCCGUAGCUGGUCUGGGAGGAUGAUCAGCCACACUGGAACUAAAACACGGUCCAGACUCCUACGGGAGGCAGCAGUGGGGAAUAUUGGACAAUGGGCGCAAGCCUGAUCCAGCCAUACCGCGUGGGUGAAGAAGGCCUUCGGGUUGUAAAGCCCUUUUGUUGGGAAAGAAAAGCAGCAGGUUAAUACCCCGCUGUUCUGACGGUACCCAAAGAAUAAGCACCGGCUAACUUCGUG